rnacentral:rRNA from 1 species
AGUGAACGCUGGCGGUAGGCCUAACACAUGCAAGUCGAACGGCAGCACAGUAAGAGCUUGCUCUUACGGGUGGCGAGUGGCGGACGGGUGAGGAAUACAUCGGAAUCUACUCUUUCGGGGGGGAUAACGUAGGGAAACUUACGCUAAUACCGCAUACGACCUACGGGGGAAAGCAGGGGAUCUUCGGACCUUGCGCGAUUGAAUGAGCCGAUGUGGGGUUUGUUAGUUGGCGGGGUAAAGGCCCACCCAGUCGGCGAUACGUAGCUGGUCUGAGAGGAUGAUCGGCCACAUUGGAACUGGGACACGCUCCAUACUCCUGCGGGAGGCAGCAGUGGGGUAUAUUGGGCAAUGGUCGCAAGCCUGAUCCAGCCAUACCGCGUGUGUGACGAAGGCGUUCGGGUUGUAAAGCCCUUUUGUUGGGAAAGAAAAGCAUCAGGUUAAUACCCCGCUGUUCUGACGGUACCCAAAGAAUAAGCACCGGCUAACUUCGUG